AACGCAUUUUGCACUCUACUCUGUAGAGUAUGUCUGUCUGAGCGUCACGACACCUGUUACAGACGUAACAAGUUGGGCCGUCAAGGAUUGUGGCUCGAAAUGGAUGGGCGACGGUGUGGAAAGCGCAAGCAGACUCCCGGGCCCGACACAAGCGACCUCAGAUCAGGCAAGAGUACCCGCUGAACUUAA
rnacentral:misc_RNA from 1 species